AUAUAUUUGCAUGUAUGUGCACUUAUAUGCAUAUUAUAUUUGUGUGUGUGCAUAUAUACACAUGCAUACAUACAUAAUA
rnacentral:miRNA from 1 species